rnacentral:rRNA from 1 species
CAUUAUAGAGUACCUUACUCACUACCCUUUGUGAACUAUUAUACCUGUUGCCUCGGCGGCGCCCCCUGUGGGCGCCCGCCGGUCUACUAGAAUCUCUGUUUUCGAACCCGACGAUACUUCUGAGUGUUCUUAGCGAACUGUCAAAACUUUUAACAACGGAUCUCUUGGCUCCAGCAUCGAUGAAGAACGCAGCGAAACGCGAUAUGUAAUGUGAAUUGCAGAAUUCAGUGAAUCAUCGAAUCUUUGAACGCACAUGGCGCCUUCCAGUAUCCUGGGAGGCAUGCCUGUCCGAGCGUCGUUUCAACCCUCGAGCCCUCGUGGCCCGGCGUUGGGGAUCUGCCACGGCAGGCCCCGAAAUACAGUGGCGGACCCGUUAGGCCCUUCCUUUGCGUAGUAGCAUUAGCCUCGCAUUGGGAGCCGACGGGCUCUCCUGCCUCUAAACCCCCCAACAAGCCCGCUCCGGCGGCACCAAGGUUGACCUCGGAUCAGGUAGGAAUACCCGCUGAACUUAAGCAUAUCAAUAAGCGGAGGAAAAGAAACCAACAGGGAUUGCCUCAGUAACGGCGAGUGAAGCGGCAACAGCUCAAAUUUGAAAUCUGGCUCCUUCGGGGCCCGAGUUGUAAUUUGCAGAGGAUGCGUCGGGUACGGGUGCCUUCCGAGUUCCCUGGAACGGGACGCCAUAGAGGGUGAGAGCCCCGUCUGGUAGGACACCCAGCCCG